UGGGGGGAUGUAUCAUCAAAUAAUCCAAAAUUUUAACGAUGAGGUUUCAUAUAUAGCCUAUAUUGAAUCUCUGUUUCCUGGUGCAAAAUAUGACUCAUAGCCGAGUGGGAUCACACACUCCUGUAACUCUAUUCUCUAUAUAAUCUACGGAGCAAUCUGACAAAAGAACGUUCUCAGAUGCUAAAAAAAAGCAUUACUAGAUGAUAAAAUUGGCUUAGGAUCGCAUCAUCAGCUGUAAAGAUUACGUGUGGUUGAUUAAAGUUAUCUUGGAGUCUUAAUAUGAGAAUUAAAAAUUAAACAAAUCGGGUUGUGUUGUAUGCGGUUCCUCUCUCUGUUUUAUUAUACCUUUUGCUGAAGCGACUCUUUGUAUGUUUCAGUCUGCCAUGUUUGAAUUAUAAUCCUUAAGAUUCUGAAGCUGCUAAUUAGUUAAUUGAUUAAGAGAUUACAACUUCUCUAAUUGCGACAACUCGAUUAAUUUCUUAACGUCGUACAUUUUGGAGCUACCUUCUGAAACAUGUGUAGUAAGGUAUUCCAUAAAUGUACGAAGAGAAAUAGAUUCAUAUAUUGUUCCUCUUUGGUGUUUGCUCGAUUGCUUUAUUCUGAAGCAUAAUUAUAUGGUUCACAAAUUUGACUCCAUAAUAAUUAUCUUGAUGUAUCUAGUUAUUCUAAUAACUACAAACAAAUGUGCUUAUGUAUCCACAAAAAAAAAUCCAUUUUGUUGUCAUAAACCGUGGUUUCGUGUCUAUUCUUGAGUUUCUUACAUAAAUUAUCAUAUACCGUGGUUUUGUGUCAUUACCUGUCCUCCAUUAUGAUUAAUGUUAACUCAUUUCCUUUUUCGUAAGUUUCCCUGGCUGGAGAAUUCCUACCAUUUCAUGAAGAUUUGAUGGCUCAUCAUUGUUAAGUUGUUUAUAUUGACUGGAGUUUUCUCAAAUUCUAGCCAUAUUAUCCAUUUUGUUGGGAAAUAAUUCAGAUUUCAACAGUUUACUCGUACUUAUGAUAGCAUUUCUUGUUUAGCUUGCAUCCAUAUUAAUAUUGUCAUAUGUGCAACAUAUUCCAUACUUUAUUUGUCAAUUAUUAGAUCAUGCAAGUUCCUAAGUAACAACCACUUACGGUUGCUUAUAAUACCUGUGAAAUUUUUUUACUUUGUUAUGAGAUCUGCUAUUUCAGGAGAGGGACUGGAGGUGCUACAUGCUCACCGAAUCAUUCAUCGCGAUCUCAAACCUGAGGAUGAUGAGGAAGAAGGUGAAGAAGGAGAAGAAGAGGGCUUGAGUAAAUGUAUAGGGAAGGAGUUGAAGAAGUGUCUGCAGUGUCAUAGUCAUUGUAAAUAAUUUAUGUAAAAACUACUCAAUAAUUUAUGUAUCUCUCUACUAUUUUGGUGAAUGUAUUAUUUGAAUAUAAUGGGAUUUGAUAUUAGAAUAUAAUUAGAUUGUGUUGGAUAUGAA